rnacentral:rRNA from 1 species
CCCCAGUAACGGCGAGUGAAGCGGCAACAGCUCAAAUUUGAAAUCUGGCCCCCAGGGCCCGAGUUGUAAUUUGCAGAGGAUGCUUUUGGCGACGCGCCUUCCGAGUUCCCUGGAACGGGACGCCAUAGAGGGUGAGAGCCCCGUCUGGUUGGACGCCGAGCCUCUGUAAAGCUCCUUCGACGAGUCGAGUAGUUUGGGAAUGCUGCUCUAAAUGGGAGGUAUAUGUCUUCUAAAGCUAAAUACCGGCCAGAGACCGAUAGCGCACAAGUAGAGUGAUCGAAAGAUGAAAAGCACUUUGAAAAGAGGGUUAAAUAGUACGUGAAAUUGUUGAAAGGGAAGCGCUCACGACCAGACUUGAGCCCGGUGAAUCAUCCAGCGUUCUCGCUGGUGCACUUCGCCGGGCCCAGGCCAGCAUCGGUUCGCCGCGGGGGAGAAAGGCGUCGGGAACGUGGCUCCCUCGGGAGUGUUAUAGCCCGUCGCACAAUACCCUGGGGCGGACCGAGGUUCGCGCAUCUGCAAGGAUGCUGGCGUAAUGGUCGUCAGCGACCCGUCUUGAAACACGGACCAAGGAGUCGUCUUCGUAUGCGAGUGUUCGGGUGUAAAACCCCUACGCGUAAUGAAAGUGAACGCAGGUGAGAGCUUCGGCGCAUCAUCGACCGAUCCUGAUGUUCUCGGAUGGAUUUGAGUAAGAGCAUACGGGGCCGGACCCGAAAGAAGGUGAACUAUGCCUGUGUAGGGUGAAGCCAGAGGAAACUCUGGUGGAGGCUCGCAGCGGUUCUGACGUGCAAAUCGAUCGUCAAACAUGGGCAUGGGGGCGAAAGACUAAUCGAA